GGAUGUGAAUUAGACACUCUGGUAUGGCAUCUGUCCUUCCAUCCUCAUCACCAGGAUCAAAUCAGCUGAUCUGACUGCCUAGGUGGCUGUUAUCUUUCUCCUUACUUCUCCACAUGUGUCCUUCCUAGAAUGCAUGCUUGGUGAAAGAGUUUGAUCUUCUCUACAGAGUAGGAUUGAUCUUUGGUCAAGUGUACACAAGUAACAGUGCACCUCUGCUAGAAGCUCUAAAUGAGCCCCUCAAAGUAGAUCAGGAAGGUUCCAUCCCUCUGGGCUAACAAGUGUAGCACCCAGCUUUCAAAACAGUGAAAACUCUUGGAGUUAGUCAC
rnacentral:snRNA from 1 species